GGAGGCGCCGAGAGCCAGCGAGGGGAUGCCAGCAAGCUGUCACCUCUCAGAAAUACAGGAAGAACAUCAAUAAUGUUCGAAGUUAUAAAUUGCGGAGGCCAGAAGUCAGAAAACAAGGUGUCUGCAGGACCAACCUCUCCUCUGGAUGCUCUAGGAGAAGCCAGCUCCCAUGUUAAGAAGUUCAAAUACCUAGAGACUGCGAUGGUUUGCAGAGGCUCAAGCUAACCACAUGGAAAGACAUGGAGAGAUAUUCCUUGCCAACCCUCAACUACUCCAACUAUUCUAAGACAUCAAACCUAAAAACAAACCGCAGGUCACCCACCGGUCUGAAGAGGAGGAUGAGAGACAAAGAAAAAAGUUGUCUGGCUGCCUCUGCUGUCUACAGAUUGAAGAAGAUCCAUCCAGCUGAGCCCAGCCUAGACCAGCUGACUUCUCCAAUAAGCCUGUAUGAAAUAAAUGCUUAUUGUUAUGU
rnacentral:lncRNA from 1 species